UACAGAGGGUGCGAGCGUUGUUCGGAAUUAUUGGGCGUAAAGCGCGUGUAGGCGGGACGGUAAGUCGGGUGUGAAAGCCCUCAGCUCAACUGAGGAAGUGCGCCCGAAACUACCGUUCUUGAGUGCCGGAGAGGGUGGCGGAAUUCCCGGUGUAGAGGUGAAAUGCGUAGAGAUCCGGAGGAACACCAAAGGCGAAGGGCAGUGUCCUGGGGAGUACCUGACGCUCAGGUGCGAAAGCCAGGGGAGCGAACGGG
rnacentral:rRNA from 1 species